rnacentral:antisense_RNA from 1 species
GUUUGCAUCCAAGAGAGGGGAGGACAGGGGCAAAAGGAUGCAGGGAGGCUGCUGAUUUCCACUGAAGAGCUAAUUUCCUGUGAGACAUUAACAGUGAUUUAAGAAAAAGAUUCCUGUAACUGGUAAGGAAACUGAGGUAUACAAGUAUGAACUUUUGCAAGGCUACAAAUCUUGUUAAUGGUGAAGCUAACGUUCAGACCCAAGUGGUUCGGCUCUAGACUUUGUCUCAGUUACUGAAUUGAACUCUCUGUGCACUUACCAUGUGUCAUACCAGCUCUCACUACAUAGUGUCCCAAAAGAUUGGGCCUGCUCUUUCUUUCAGAGACAAUUAGGAAAAAAGUAAACAAAUGGAGCAGGAUUUGGGCAUAACAGCAUGCUCCUCCCAUCCCCCAAAUCCCAGGAGUGUCACUGAGUAAUGUCUUACAAUAACAGAAUGCAGGAGAGCACAUAUCAAUGAAGAAAAGACAAAAUGUACUUAUCCAUGAAGCUGAGGUUAAGAAACCAGUGUCUUCAAGAGCCAGGGACAGCACUGGGUCUGUGCAGAGUUGAGAGAUGGUGAUGACAUGUGGUUUCCAGCAUUCCUCGCCCAGUCCAGGGACACUGUGGGUGUGCCCAGCUUAAGUCCAGUCCAGUAACUGGAAAUACAAGCCCAAGUUCUGGAGAGUUUGAGCUGCAG